UGCAGUCGAACGCGUGUAGCAAUACACGAGUGGCGCACGGGUGAGUAACGCGUGGAUAUCUGCCUUUUGGUUCGGAAUAACUCCGGGAAACUGGAGCUAAUACCGGAUGGUUCCUACGGGAUAAAGAUUUAUCGCCAAAAGAUGAGUCCGCGUACGAUUAGCUAGUUGGUGAGGUAAUGGCUCACCAAGGCGACGAUCGUUAGCUGGUCUGAGAGGACGAUCAGCCACACUGGGACUGAGACACGGCCCAGACUCCUACGGGAGGCAGCAGUGGGGAAUAUUGGACAAUGGGGGCAACCCUGAUCCAGCCAUGCCGCGUGAGUGAUGAAGGCCUUCGGGUUGUAAAGCUCUUUUGGCGGGGACGAUGAUGACGGUACCCGCAGAAUAAGCCCCGGCUAACUUCGUGCCAGCAGCCGCGGUAAGACGAAGGGGGCUAGCGUUGUUCGGAAUUACUGGGCGUAAAGCGAGUGUAGGUGGUUGUCAUAGUCAGGUGUGAAAGCCUUGAGCUCAACUCAAGAAAUGCACUUGAUACUGGGCGACUAGAGGACCGGAGAGGAUAGUGGAAUUCCCAGUGUAGUGGUGAAAUACGUAGAGAUUGGGAAGAACACCAGUGGCGAAGGCGGCUAUCUGGACGGUUUCUGACACUAAGA
rnacentral:rRNA from 1 species